GUUGCUUCUCAGCCUUUUGGCUAAGAUCAAGUGUAGUAUCUCUUAUUAUCAGCAUCUCCCACUCUAAUAAACUUUAUUUCCCUCUCAUUCUAUAUGUCUGGAAAUUCUU
rfam:Ovis aries breed Texel chromosome 3, whole genome shotgun sequence.